rnacentral:rRNA from 1 species
CAGAGUACCACGGGACACGUGAAACCCUGUGGGAAGCAGGAGGGACCACCCUCCAAGGCUAAAUACUACCUAGUGACCGAUAGCGUAUAGUACCGUGAGGGAACGGUGAAAAGAACCCCGGGAGGGGAGUGAAAUAGAACCUGAAACCCUGCACUUACAAGCUGUGGAAGCACAUUUCUUGUGUGACCGCGUACUUUUUGUAGAACGGGCCAACGAGUUACGUUAAGUAGCAAG